GACUGGCUAGCUCAGCUGGUAGAGCAACGCCCUUUUAAGGCGUGGGUCCUGGGUUCGAGCCCCAGGCCAGUCA
rnacentral:tRNA from 1 species